CAGUCGCCACGGGAAUACAGAGGGUGCGAGCGUUAAUCGGAUUUACUGGGCGUAAAGCGUGCGUAGGCGGCUUUUUAAGUCGGAUGUGAAAUCCCUGAGCUUAACUUAGGAAUUGCAUUCGAUACUGGGAAGCUAGAGUAUGGGAGAGGAUGGUAGAAUUCCAGGUGUAGCGGUGAAAUGCGUAGAGAUCUGGAGGAAUACCGAUGGCGAAGGCAGCCAUCUGGCCUAAUACUGACUCUGAGGUACGAAAGCAUGGGGAGCAAACAGGAUUAGAUACCCCUGUAGUCCCUGUCUCUUAUAC
rnacentral:rRNA from 1 species